CUGAACUUAAGUCAUUUCCUGUUUUCUCUACAUCAAUGUUGAAUUACACAGCUGAAUAUUUUAAGUGUUCCUGUUUUUCAACAGCUCAUCUGCUGCCAUCAUGUUCUGUCAUUAGCUGCUCACACCUUCAGAUGAUAAGAGGAAGGAAACUGAGCUCAUCGUCAACAACUUAUUUAUGCCAUUUGCAUAAAGUUCUGUGGAAAAAUAACUUCCUGUUACUUUGCACUGCAGACUAAAGUAGAGUUUCUGCCUUCUUAGUUCAUUUAAAGAGAAGAAAGGAGCAGCUAUGAGUUUCUCAGCAGCGAUCCGUGGAGUUAUCGUCCUUCUCAUGGCAGCAGAUGUUUGUGGUCAGAAUGGUUGGGGAGUGACUUAUAGUCGUUCCUCCAUUUGUGCCCUAAAAGGAUCGACGGUGGAAAUGAGCUGCAACUAUAUUUACCCAGACAAAUACGAAAACAAAUAUAUUGUUAUAGAGAAAACAUUUUGGUUUACAAAAGUGAUUAAUGGAGAUUUUGUGGAUCUGAAAGACGACCCAGAUUAUUCAGGUCGUGUGGAAUACAAUUGCACAAAGACUUUCUGCUCUCUGAAGAUCUUUAAUGUGAGACAAACUGACUCAAAAGAGUACAAGUUCAGGUUCAUAUCAGACCAUCCAGGUGGAAAAUACAUGGGUUCACCUGGAGUCUCUUUAUCUGUCAGAGAUCUACAGGUGAAGGUAAAAAGAUUAAAUGAUCCAAUCAGGAUCCAGCUGACAUGUCACACUGACUGUCAGCUGGAUCCUCCAGUUUCCUACGUCUGGCUGGAGGAUGGGAAAGCAAACAAAGAAAAUAACAAUAAUUUGGUCCUGUCCUCAUUUAAUACCACACACAGAUAUCAGUGUGCAAUAAGAGGACAUGAGGAUGUUUCAUCUCCUGCAGUGUAUGCUCCACAGACCAUCGUUCUGUCAGUGAACCCCUCAGAAACUGUUGAAGGCUCUAAAGUGACUCUGACCUGCAGCAGUGAUGCUAAUCCAGCAGCUAAAUACAACAUUACAGGGUGAAUGAAGAUCAACAUGGUCAACUUGUCAGCACAGAAAUACAACUAGUCUUCAGCUCCAUCCAGGUCUCUGAUUCUGGGAGGUAUUACUGUGCAGCUGGAAAUGACCUUGGGAGCCGGACGUCUCCAAGUAUCGAUAUUAAUGUGAAAUAUGCUCCCAGAUCUCCUUCAGUGUCUCAGAGUCCGUUUGGUGACAUCGUGGUGGGUAGCUCCGUGACUCUGACAUGUAGCAGUGAUGCUAACCCAGCAGCUAACUACACCUGGUACAAGGAGGGAGAGAAGGCACAAAAAGAUUCAGGAGAAAACUUCACCAUCACCAACAUACAAAAUGAACACAGUGGGAACUAUUACUGUAAAGUCCAGAACAAGAUAGGACAUCAUAACACCUCUGUAUCUGUGACUGUUGUGCCAGGUCAACCAAUAUCAACGAUCACCUGCAGGUUGGCUCUAUUGAUCCUGAUUUCUAUGCUUGUCCUGAUUACGUUUAGAAGAACCCUGAAAACUAUGAAAAAACCCACAAAACGAUCUGAUCCUGUAGAAAUGAUGGAGAUGAGAAAUGCUAUUGAGAUCACAGAGUGAGUAUGGAUUGAUCGAUUAUUGAUCAAUGCAUUGAUCUGUAAUUAACCAAUCUGCUUUUGGUGCAUUGUUGUCAUUCAAUUACUGUACAUAAAAAAGUCAGACAGGAAAAACUAGAAGUAUGAGGUGCUACAUUUCACCAAAAUGAGGGUAAAAAAUUUAUUUGCAAAAAUAUAACCAUAAAAAUAACAAAAAAUAAAUACUGUUUGUACAUAUUGAGUCUCUGAGUUAUAAAGACAGCAAGUAGUGAGAAGAAUUGUAAACUGUUAUGAAAUGUUAAAGAAUCACGAUAAUAUCAGCUUGUGCUGCAUAAAGAAGCUGAAAGGUCAGAGGUCAGCCCUCUGUCCUUCAGACUAUUUGGAUGCAGCUGCUUCAGUUCACGUCCAGCAGAGGUCACAGAGAAGAUUCACCUGGAACCAGUCAAGGUCAACCAUGGAGGAGUCAUGAACCCAGUUUACCACGACCCGUAACCAAGGAGACGGUUGGAGUGAAACCAGAAGAAGCAGAGAGGAAGUCCAUAUAAGGUUGUAACAGAGCGCAGCAUCAACACCUGCAGAGACUGUACUCUCCUACUGUAUUUUAAUAUCUUCAUAUCUAAUCCCUAAUUAUAUGUUGGUCAUGCUUAUCUGCUCAUAUUAAAGCUUAGAACGUUGAUAAAAAUAUGGUUUUGUUGGUUGUUGCUUUAAUUAAAGUUUGUUUUGAAGUGUUGCUGUUUUUAUAUCUGCAUUUUUGCUUUAAUAAACCUUCAUUUUUCUU